AAAGGCAAGACAUACUUGAAAAAUAAAAGCAGCGCUGCCCCGAUCGUUACUCACUCACACAACGGCACUCACUCACUCCAGUAGUCUCUCUCUCUGCCAUUCGCUUUGCUCUCCAUUGCUGUGCUCGCGCGCGUGUGUGUGUAAGCUUUGCCUGUUCUGUGCUGCGGUUCUUUGUCGGAGUUGCCACACAGCCUCGAAAUUCGUCGAAUUUUAAAUUGGAAACGAGCAAGCAAGCGCACGGACAUUUCGUUGAAAUAGUUAAACCAUGCAUGUACAAAUAAACGAGUGUAUGUAGGUUCUGUAUUCUGCUGAUAAGACACGCAUAACAGCCUGCUCCAGAGACUCCCGGCUUAUCAACGAAAAGAGGAAAAAACUGUGUAGCAAAAAUGGGUCGAGCGACGACCGAGCAAGCACAUUGUGUAUUGUUUUUUGUUGUGUUUGCACUAUCGCUUAAUAAUUGAAAUUAAAGAAAAGAUUG